CUCGAUUACCCUGGUACACUGUGUGACGCCCCCAAAUCCUUGUACUAACUAUAGGUGAUCACUACCCAUCUAAAAAUUUAAAUUCAUCUCAUGAUAACAUAAUAAAAAUAUUAUUAUUACAUUCCCAGUUCUCGAAUCAUAAGUUCAGAACUCGUGGACAUUCACAGACUAAGCUGUCCCAAAAGCAUAGAAUAUGUUACAUCUUGUCUCAAACUAUUAGUAUUACAAUAGCACUAUUAGUAUUACAAUAGCUUACUACAUUAAUAUAAAACGUAAACUAUUACAAUAUUAAAAUUACUCAUUUGGCUUAAGGACACCUUUGUCAUGUUACGAGACCCUUCGGUGUCCUUUGUUUCUGCUCCUCUAAAAACGAGACCUAAUAACCCUAUCUUUCAUUUUCAUCUGGUCAUAAGACACCCUAAAAGCAUAUUCCUCUCUAUCGGCCCUAACCCAUUCAUAUCUCACAUAUCCUUCCAAUACACUUCGUAUAGUCUCUAGUUGUACAAUUUUCCUAUCUCUUCCUAGCAAAGUUGUCUUCAAUUGUUGCAACUCUAGUCUGAGAGAUUGCACCUCAUCGCAUGCUUGCUCAGCUACUUUGUUCCUUACGUCCGGAACAAACUGCUCAUCAUUUUCCACCGCUGGGACAAGACAACCAGCUCUUCCUCAUUUUCUUCUUCCAUUUCUUCUGGAUCCUCAGGAUCCUCUUCUGGGUUUUCUUAAGGAUCACAAACAAGUUCCGCUACUGAAACAUUCUCAUAUACUACAUGUAUAUCCACAAAUCCUUUCUCGAUCGUCAGAUCCUACAAUAGAACAUCAAUAAUACCCACUCAGUAUCAUAACGUAAUAUAUAUAACUGAAAUACAUAGUAAAUACAUAGUAACUUAAUCGCGGAGUGGGUAUUAUUGAUGUUCUGUUGUAGGACAUGACGUGCGAGGAUGGAUUUGUGGAUAAAUGUAGUAUAUGAGGAUGUUCCAGUAGCGGGACUUGUUAGUGAUAUCGAAGAGGACCCAGAGUAAGACUCAAAAGAGGAUACUGAGGAGGAUCCAAAAGAGAUGGAAGAAGUAAACGAAGGAGUUGGUUGUCCUGGAGGUGGGAAAUGAGGAUCCAAAAGAGAUGGAAGAAGUAAACGAGGGAGUUGUGGUUGUCCCGGAGGUGGGAAAUGAUGAGCAGGUUGUUCCGGACGUAGGGAACGAAGUAGCUGAGCAAGCAAAGGUGCAAACUCUCAGACUAGAGGUGCAAUAAUUGAAGGCAAUUUUGCUAGAAAUAGAGAGAAAAAUUGUACAAUUAGAGACUAUACAAAGCUUAUUGGAAGGAAAUGUGCUAGAGCCGAUAGAGAGGAAUAUGCGUUUAGGGUCUCAUGACCGGAUGAAAGAUAGGGUGAUUGGGUACUCGUAUUUAGAGGAGCAGGAAUAAAGGAGGCCGAAUGGUCUCGUAACAGGGCAAAUGUGUCCUUAAGCCAGAGGAGCAAUUUUAAUAUUGUAAUAAUUUACGUUUAAUAUUAAUGUAGUAAGUUAUUGUAAUAGUUUGAACAUGAUGUAUUGUAACAUAUUCUAUGUUUUUGGGACUAUUAGUCUGAGUUGUAAACUUAUGCUUCGCGUCUUGGGAAUGUAAUAAUAUAUAUAUUUUUUUAUUAUGGUAUCAUGAGAUGAAUUUAAAUGUUUAGAUGGGUAGAAAUGUUUAUGUUUAAGAAUAGUGACCAUCAAAUCAGUUGUAACUAUUACAGAGAUUUGGGGGCGUCACAAGUUGAUAUCAUAACAAAGAUGAAGAAUGUGAACGGAUAAAGAGAAGAAUAGCAGAGAAGGUGAUGAGAAGUUUCAAGUUAACAAAGAUGGAAUGAUCCGUUUGAAAUGAGGCUGUGGAUACCUCCAGUGCUGGAGUUAAAAAGAGCAAAUCUUAAGAGAAGCUCAUAGUGCAAGAUAUGCUAUUCAUCCCGGUAAUAUUUUUGGUGGCCAGGUAUGAAGAAAGAGGUUGCGGAAUGGGUUAAUAAAUGUCUUACGUGCCAACAAAUCAAGGCUAUCAGCGACCAAGUGGAUUAUUACAACCUCUAACGAUUCCAAAGUGGAAGUCAGAGCAUAUUAUAAUGAAUUUUGUGGUAGGACUUCUGACAUAGAAAGGGUUUGAUGCAAUAUGGGUGAUCGUGGGCUAACGAAAUAUGCUCCUUUCUUAUCAAUAAAGGUGAGGUUUAGUUUGGAUCAGCUAACACAUUAAAGAGAUUAUUUUUCGUCAUGGUGUUCCGGUGUCAAUUAUGUCAGAUCGGGAUCCACACUUUACAACUAAUUUCUGGAAGAGUGUACAAGAAUAGUUGGGGAAUCAAGUAAAGUUGAGCACUGCUUAUCAUCCUCAAACUGUAGGACGGAGCGAUGGAACAAUGAGCAAUGCUACUAUCACAUAAAACCACUCACAUACAUAUUAGUAUAACCCACAUGACUUGCUCUGCACGUGGGCCAUUCCAAUAUGCAUGCGAGUGUAUGUGAACAAUAUGUGAGCAAUUUUUAUGUGAUAGUAGACUUAUUGUAGAACAAUUUAUACUUUGGAGGACAUGCUCAGAACUGUGUCAUGGAUUUCAAGGGUAACCGAGAUGAUCAUCUACCAUUGGCAGUGCUCGCGUAUAACAACAAUUAUCAUGCUAGCAUUGAAAUGAGCCUUAUGAAGCAUUGUAUGGAAGAAAUUGCAGAACACCAUUGCGUUGGGACAAAGUUGGGGAGUAGCAACUGCUCGGACCAGAAUUAAUGCAACAAAAUGCAGAUAUUGUCAAAGUGAUACGACGAAGACUCAUAGCGGCUCAAGAUUGUCAGAAGAAAUAAGCAGACCAGAAGAGAUAAACUCGAGAAUUCGAGGUCGGCAGCUAUGUAUUCUGGAAAGUAUCUCCAUGAAAAGUAAAGACGAGGUUCGAGAAUAGGAGGAAACUUAGUCCUCGAUUUAUAGGACCAUUCGAAGUAUUUAGAAGGGUAAGUGAGGUAGCUUAUAAAAUAGCUUUACCUCUAUAGCUAAAACACAUACAUAAUGUAUUUCAUGUUUCUGUUUUACAUCCUUAUAAACCGGACUACAAGCAUGUAAUAGAUUAUGAGCCAAGUUAACAAAGACUUAGCCUACGAAGAGAUCCAACUCAAAUUGUAGAUAAGAAAGAGCAAGUCUUAAAAAAUUAAGUAAUACAUUCGGUUAAGGUAAUAUGGAAGAAUCACUCCGUUAAAGAAGCUACGUGGAAACUAAAAGAUAAAAUGAAGAAGAGUUACCCACACUUGUUUAACUAUGCACGGGUGAUUCCAGGGACGAAAUCCUUGUAAUAGGGGGGAGAAUGUAAUAUCUCAAAACCCUAAACACGAAUGUAAAUGUAAAUGCAAAUAUCAAUAAAGAGUAAUUUUAUUUUUUAAUAUAUUUAAUUUAUGUGUUAAACUUAUAACUAAUAUGUAAUUGGAAAGAAAAGAAGAGAAAAUUAAAGAAAAGAAAUAUAGAAGUCAAAAGCCAAAAUAGAAUUUAAAAAAAAAGAAAAUUGGGAGGAUAAAUAUCCCAAGAGGCCUGGCCAUUUGGGACACCACACAUAAGUAUGUUGUAUAUAUGUAGCAUUUUAUUGGCAACAGAUGAGUGGGGAAAU
rnacentral:lncRNA from 1 species